rnacentral:rRNA from 1 species
UACAAAUUCGCCUCUGGUUAGCAGUUGGCCCGACCUUUGGUUAUACAUGGGAUUUCAAGAGAAGAGGGAGUAGAAUGAGUUAGCCUAGUUCUGAAGAUUUAAUAGAGGCAGAGAAGGCUAGGCCGUAGAAGAAUUGAGUGUUAUUCGAAAAAAGAUAUACAAAGGAGUCCCGUCUCCAGUAAUUAAAAUUGGUAAAAGUGGAAACACUAUAUCAGCAAAUAGGACGAAUGGGGAGACGAAUGAGGUGCCAGCAAUCGCGGUCAAACCUGUUCCCCUGGUUAAUUAUCGUCGUGGAGGAGUUUUAGGAAAAAUAAAGAUAGAACGGAAUGAUAAGAAAUGGUCAAAUAUGAUCUUACUUCUGUGAAUUUGGGCUUCUUUUAAACUAUAACCUGAAAAGGCUGCUAUAGAGACAAGGAUUUGAGACCCUUUUAUUGAAGCUGUCUGUUAAGAGUCUACGUGGACUACGAGCUAAGUGCUUAAAACACAAAGAGGUUGGCGGUGUCUUACAACCAUUCAGGGGAACUUGACGGUUAAUUCGAUAAUCCUCGAACUACCUUACCCUUACUUUUCUUUUUAUACCGCCGUUGUCAGUUUGUCUUGAAGAGGUUAGAUUGGGGCCAGAAACAAUGAAUUUUUUUGUGUAUCACUUAGGUGUUUUACAGAAAAUCUAACAAUAUUGUCCGAAUUCAGGUAAACGUGAUGGAAUGUAGGGGGCUUAGUUGAGUUACAAUUGUUAAGCACGAUGGAGGGCAUGAAUAGAAUGUUUGUCUGAAAAUGUACUUACUAGUAAAUUUCUGUUAGAGAGGGAAGUUGAAUCGGGUAAAUAAGACGCGUACAAACUGCCCGGCGCCCUCGUAUAAGUUCACGAAAAUGAGGUAAGUCGUAACAUGGUAAUGUUAGUAGAAAUUGAUGUUAUUCAUGA